GUGAACGCUGGCGGUAGGCCUAACACAUGCAAGUCGAACGGCAGCACAGUAAGAGCUUGCUCUUACGGGUGGCGAGUGGCGGACGGGUGAGGAAUACAUCGGAAUCUACUUUUUCGUGGGGGAUAACGUAGGGAAACUUACGCUAAUACCGCAUACGACCUACGGGUGAAAGCAGGGGAUCUUCGGACCUUGCGCGAUUGAAUGAGCCGAUGUCGGAUUAGCUAGUUGGCGGGGUAAAGGCCCACCAAGGCGACGAUCCGUAGCUGGUCUGAGAGGAUGAUCAGCCACACUGGAACUGAGACACGGUCCAGACUCCUACGGGAGGCAGCAGUGGGGAAUAUUGGACAAUGGGCGCAAGCCUGAUCCAGCCAUACCGCGUGGGUGAAGAAGGCCUUCGGGUUGUAAAGCCCUUUUGUCGGGAAAGAAAAGCAGCAGGUUAAUAUCCCGCUGUUCUGACGGUACUCAAAGAAUAAGCACCGGCUAACUUCGUG
rnacentral:rRNA from 1 species